rnacentral:lncRNA from 1 species
AGCAGUCCUAUCCUUUGGUACUCUGCUCAUCCUUCGCGAGGUAGUUAACACUUUAUUUUUAUUUUUUUGAAUGCGGGUGGACGGACAGAGAGCGAGGACGCGGAUCGGGCUGCAGCGGCCUUCUUUGCUGGAAGACUGGAAAGGUUGGGGGGGGGGGCGGGCGGCUUGGUUCUCGCGAUUACUCGUAUUUUUUGCCGAGGGGGCGUGAGGUCUCAUCUGCGAAUUCCCCGGUGCCAGGUGACGACGCAGAGGGCCCUCGCGGGGCCGCGCAAGGGCCGGCGGUUGCUGCGGCUCGGCGCGUGUUUGAAGUCGAAGAGGACGGAGGGCAGCAGCUGCGGCAGAGCGUGAAGUCCCAAGUUUUCGCCUUUCCGAUCCGAUGAAGAGCAGUCGUCCUUUUUCUCAGGCUUAAGCCCCUCCUGGACAUUGAUUUUCACGCCAUCCGUCCAUUCAUUCACGGCUCCGUCAGUCUUCUCGCCGCUCAGGCGGGAUGAGUAUCCGAGGAAUGAAUAUCCUUCCCUGGUGGUGCCGUGCCACCUCUCGGUGACGUGCCGGCGCGGCCCGGCGCCUGGACCGCCCAGACGCGGCAAGGCUUUUGAUCUGUUCCGCUCUGCGCGUCCGAGAGGUCUUUUUCCAUUGCGUUUUUAUCUCUAUUCCCCCGGCGGUGGGUGCCGCCGGCUCCGCAGCGGCAGCAAAGCCUCCCGUCACCGGCGCCCAUUCCGCUCUAUUCGGUCGUGGCCUCGUGCGGCGGAAGAGAGAGGGAGGGAGGGAGGGAGGGUGGGGCUCUCUCGCUCCUCCGCCGCGGUAGACUUUUACCGCCGCGGUGAAGGGCAACGCGUCGCCCGGUGGAUUACGAAAA